rnacentral:snRNA from 2 species
GUCCCUUCGGGGACAUCCAAUAAAAUUGGAACGAGACAGAGAAGAUUAGCAUGACCCUGCGCAAGGAUGACACGCACAAAAAAAAACAUACGUAAAAAUAU